rnacentral:rRNA from 1 species
AGACCCGAAACCCGGUGAUCUAGCCAUGGGCAGGUUGAAGGUUGGGUAACACUAACUGGAGGACCGAACCGACUAAUGUUGAAAAAUUAGCGGAUGACCUGUGGCUGGGGGUGAAAGGCCAAUCAAACCGGGAGAUAGCUGGUUCUCCCCGAAAGCUAUUUAGGUAGCGCCUCGUGAAUUCAUCUCCGGGGGUAGAGCACUGUUUCGGCUAGGGGGCCAUCCCGGCUUACCAACCCGAUGCAAACUGCGAAUACCGGAGAAUGUUAUCACGGGAGACACACGGCGGGUGCUAACGUCCGUCGUGAAGAGGGAAACAACCCAGACCGCCAGCUAAGGUCCCAAAGUCAUGGUUAAGUGGGAAACGAUGUGGGAAGGCCCAGACAGCCAGGAUGUUGGCUUAGAAGCAGCCAUCAUUUAAAGAAAGCGUAAUAGCUCACUGGUCGAGUCGGCCUGCGCGGAAGAUGUAACGGGGCUAAACCAUGCACCGAAGCUGCGGCAGCGAACGUAUCACUUAAAGCGAUUCAGCGGGUUACGAUUGACGGAGCGAAGCGACGUCAAAGCGUAUACAAAGUCGAGUCGGUUUAAGGAUACGUUCGUUGGGUAGGGGAGCGUUCUGUAAGCCUGUGAAGGUGUGUCGUGAGGCAUGCUGGAGGUAUCAGAAGUGCGAAUGCUGACAUAAGUAACGAUAAAGCGGGUGAAAAGCCCGCUCGCCGGAAGACCAAGGGUUCCUGUCCAACGUUAAUCGGGGCAGGGUGAGUCGACCCCUAAGGCGAGGCCGAAAGGCGUAGUCGAUGGGAAACGGGUUAAUAUUCCCGUACUUGGUGUUACUGCGAAGGGGGGACGGAGAAGGCUAUGUUGGCCGGGCGACGGUUGUCCCGGUUUAAGCGUGUAGGUGUGUGUUCCAGGUAAAUCCGGUUCACUUUAAC